UGGGGUGUUGGCUCAGUGGUAGAGCCCUCGCCUAGCCCAUGCGAGGCACUGGGUUCAAUCCUCAGCACCACAU
rnacentral:tRNA from 1 species